GCAAGCUCUCGCCUUGAAGUUGCAUGCGGACCUUAAUCAGAUCCAGAGGAUGAGUAGAGCAGCCAGCAAUAAUCGAAGCAAUCCCACCUUCAACGAAACCUUUGGCACCCAUGGUUAGUAGCUCUCUUUCUCUUUACUCCUCUCUACUUUUUUGAGUUAAAAAUCAAAAAAUAAACCAAUAUUGUGUCAAAAAAAAUUCUAAAAAAAUAAAUCAAAACUAUAACCAGUUGGGUUUCAAGUCACUGGAAACGAGAAGAUGAGAGUGGACGCUAAAAGCUAUAGAAGAAGAGUGAGGGACUGUAGGCCUCUGAGACAUAUGCUAGAGAAAAUAGGGCAAAGAGCUACAAAAGGAUUUGAAGAGAAGGAUGUUUUCGAAAGAAGAGAGUUUAGCGAGAAUAUAUAGGGGUGCAAUUGGUGCAGGCGAAAGGGAAAGGAAAGUGUUGAAGAAGAAUAGAGUAGGGUGCGUAGAAGUGGCGGAGAUACGCGGUUAUGUUGGGGUCCAUGUUUUCAUGUUUGAUGCCCUAAAUUUAGGAAUGAGAGGCGAGUGGACCGGUUCUUUUGCUUUUCCAUCAGUAUUUUAUAAAUUUUAUUUCCCAGUUGUUAGCGUCCUCGGCCUGACUUUGACGCUACUUUUGGACUUCAGGUUAUAUCUGCUAACCCUCCUAAUUUGUUUUUUUCCCACUUUUUUCCCACCUUAUUGGAGUUUCGAGCACUUUUGUCUAUAAAAUUCUACUCCCUUCGCCAAAUACAAGUUGUGUUAAGAUGAUUUUUUUUAAUAUGAAUAUAAAUUAUUUUAAAAAUAUAUGAAAUUAAUUAUAUUUUUUAAAAAUUUUACUCUUAUUUAUAUUAAAUACAAUAAUUAAGGAUUGAGUAAAUUAUUUUUUAAUUAAUGUUUAUUUAAUGAGACAAAAUUCAAUGCGUAUACUUUUUAUAAGACUGAAAUUGAAAUAAAAUAAUUAAUAUUAUACUUUAAUAUUUCAAAAAAUGUCAUUAAAUGAAAAAAAACUGUUAAAUUUAAACAAAUUAUUUUUCAGAGAGAAAAAUACAAGAAAAAAAAAGUGCUUGUAUUCUAGUACUAUCUCUAUUUUAUAAUAUUUAUCACAUUUGAGAAAGUAAUUUAUUUUAAAAUAUUUGUGACAUUUGUGAUUCAAAAGAGUAAUAAAUAUUUUUUUUCUUAUUUAUUCUUUAUAUAAUAACAAUAAUUAUCAUUUCAAUUUAAUGAUUUUCUAAAAAAAUUAAUAUAAAAUUAAAAAUAAUAUAAUUAAUUUACUUAAUAAUUUAUUAUAAUUUAAAUAAAUUAAAUAAUUAUUAUAAGGGACGAAAAAUUUAAAACAUGGAAGCUAUUGUGAACCUGUAUCGGUCUGAUUGGACAGAAGAAAACGCGCUAAGCUGGCUAACUUAUUUAUUGCUGUCCGAAAAAGGUCUUUUCGACUUUGAGUCCGCAACUGCAACCAACCAUUUGCCAACUAAACUCCUUAAUUAUCGAGAGACAAAUAUUAUUUAUUUAGAAAAAAAGGAAAGAAAGAAGAAGAAUAAUAAUGUUUGCAAUUGCUUAAUAACAAACAUAUUUGUGAUUCUUAUGAUAAUAAUUCUUUUUCUUGAAAAAAUCUCCGGAUAAUAGUAUUUUGAAAUAAUUUAAUACAGAAACUUCCACAUAUUUAAUAUAUACAUAUAUAUAUAUAUAUGCUCACAGCAAUUUGAAACAUUGAAUCCGUCUCGUAUGAUAUGCACAAAAGAAUAUAUAAAAAUUUCUGAAUAGUGGAGAAGCAUCAAAUCAACAAUAAAUUACUGAUACGAAGCUUUUAUACGGGGGAGGCUUAAUUGAGGGAGAAAAAGGAGAUGUAGCCAAAUUUCCUAUCUAAUUAAGCCUCAUAUAAGUCAUGAGUCAUGAUCAUGGUUGCCUCCCAUUUGCCCAAAUGGUAUUUGUCACUUGACUUCUUUAACCCACUAUCAUCUAACUCAACACGUUUUUGUUUUUGUUUUUGGGUCAAUGCAUCAAAUUGCUUUAAAGCUUUAGCGUUUUAUUUUUUUGGCAUUCUAAAGUUUUUCAGUAAUUUAUUAUUAUUAUUAUUAUUAUUAUUAUUAUUUUAUAAUAAUAAGCACCUUGAAUCGCAGUCUUUAAAUUUAUUACUAAAAAUUGUUAUCUUUUAACUUUAAUUUUUAAAUUAUUAUUAAACUAUCUUUGUUACAUAAUACUUGUUAUUUUUUAGAAAAAAUUUGCAAGCUUACAUUUAAAAAAAAAAAAUUUAGAAAUCAAUUAGAUUUUCUCUCGUUCAACUAAAUAGUUUUUCUAUUAAUAUUUUGCUGAAUUCUGAUUUGUCAACUAAAGAAAGUCACAAAAUACUUUUGUUUCAAUUUCGUCCUUGCAGUAAAGCUGUCAAGUUUUAUUAUUAAAGUUUUCGAUAAUAAUUUAAUUUGAACAUAUAAUAUUUUGUUGUUUCUAAUGAAUUUCUAUUAAUAAAUUAGGAUUAAUAUUUCAGGUUCUAUUAAGAGCAAGACUGAUAUUUCAUCGCAAUUUAACAAAAAAAAAAAAUCAUAAUAACAAAAAAGACUAUAAGUUCAAUAAUCAACAUGAUGAAGGGACUUCCUAAUUAUUAUUAUUUAAAAAAAAAAAAAAAAAGAUCCUAACUUUUGAAAUUUAUAUAGUAAUCACAAGAACAAAUUGUUACCGUGUCUUCGCAUGAGAAAGUCAGACAGAGGAACAGAGCAGCCCUUAAUUGCUUGUCUUGAUUUUUCUUCGUUUCGCCCAUUGUUAGUCUAUUACCAUGGACAGCCCAAAUUCAUGGGCUUACAGCCUGUAUAUUUUAGGACCUCAUUAAGGGCCCGCAAAUUGGUUAUAACCCCACGCUAGCUACAAGCAUGGCACGUUGGCCAUUGGGUUUGAAAUUUAGUAGAAUUCUAAUCGUCAUUAUUCAAAUCAAUUUUGUAUUUCCUUUUCUUUUUAUGUUGGCUUGAACUAAACAGAUAGAAGUGUUGUUUUCACUUUUUAGCAUGAAGGAUUAAGAUUUUUAAUUGUGAGAGUUAAACUUAAGAAUUCACUUUUUCUAAAUAAUUUUACCUUUACUGUUAUAAAAAAAAAAAACAAUAGUCACCAUAUUAAGGAAAUCGUAUAAAUUUAUUAAUUUAUAAUGUUUAUUUAUUUGAAGAAUAAUGAUGUACUCUGAAAUUAUUAUUAUUAUUAUUAUUUUCUCCGUGAAAGCGAUUGUGGUAUAUAUUUGUAGCCAUCUUAAUACCAUAUCAUGAUGAUAUGUCAUAUUGAGAAUCCUAAUUUCCAACUAAUAUGAAUAUGUAUGUAUCGACUAAUUAAAAUCGUUAAUAAGCAUUGGCAACCGAAACUCGCUGUAAUUUAUUAUAAAAAUAAAUAAAACACAUUCUUUCAAGAGAGAAAUCUGCAGUAACAAAAACUUAACAAUGGCUGAACACAAUUCUCGUAGGGCCAACCGUUCUCUCCCAAAAACAAAACAAAGCAAAGCUUCACGUGUCCUUCCCUCUUUCCCUUAUAUUUCUUUCUCAUUCUCAUUAACCCUAGGGCCUCUCAUCCCCAUAAAAAUCUCCUGCAAACAAAAACUGAAAAUUAUUAUAUUUGUAAGCAAAGCAGGAAACACAAAGUCUCUUUCUUUGUCCCUAACAUCAAACGGAAAUUAUUGACAACAAAAAUCACCAAAUUUUGGUCGGAAAAUCAAGAAAUGGAGCUUCAACAGUUAAUGCACCUCAUUUUGCUCUGGUAUACUAUGCAAACUACCCGUUUGGUCCUUGUGAGUGGAAAUCACACUGCCGCUAGUUUACGUUCUCGCUGAGUCAUUUCCUUUUCCUCUUCCUCUUCCAUCCUUAUUUUCUUCCUUUCCCUCUGUAAAGAAAUAAAAAGAUUUCUUUAGUAUUUCCUUUUCUUUUUACACAUAUAGGCAUUUCUUAGAAACAAUAAAAUUAUUCUAUUUGUAUAAACAUGUCUAUUCAACUUCAACAGGAGUUCCAAUCUUCUAAAUGUCUCAUUAAAAUGAAGGCCUUGCCUUCAACUUGCUCGAAUGGUGAUACGUACUUGAUCAUCAAGCUUCCUCAUUCCAGACUUUUGAAACUUUUCGCUCGAUUAAUUGUUUUGGCUUUCAUUUUUGUUUCGUUCCCAUUGUUUGGAAACAUAUUUGGUCUCCAUUUUCCUUCAUUGUCUCUACCAACAGUUAUUCAGCCUGCAAAACUUAAUCCACUACAUCUUGAUCUCUUGCCUUCCCUUUCCCGUGAUUUAGCAAAUGAAGGCCUUAUUAAAACCGGUGAUAAAGCUGUAUUUAUAAGCAAUGGCGACGGUGGUGAUGAUGCCAUUUAUAGUUCUCAGAUCCUAAAUGAUAAUUAUAAUGUGGAUUUUAUCUCCAUUUCUGAACUAGAUAAGGAAACCAUAAUUUCUAAUGAAUCUUUGGAUUUUGCUAUUAUCUAUAGCUUCAAUGUUGUUCAAGAAUCUCAAGAAUUCAUUGAUCGGGCCCUCAAAAUUGGUGGUAUAUCAGUUAUUCGAUUAAUCCAUCAUGAUCCUUCAUUUGUAUUCAAUAAACCAUAUAAUUACAAACUAGUCUAUAUCAGGAGGUUUCAAUCGACCAUUGUUAUAGCUCUGAGGAAAACAGCUUUCUCUAGUCAUAAUCAUAUAGAUUUCAGCUCACAAAGAAAACUCUUUGCAUAUAGAAGUGAAGCAAGACACGCAGCACUUAACAACCUAGAAGAUGUACUCUUAGAACCACCGCGAUCAGCUUCAGGAAAGUCAAGUAGAUACUUAAAGAAAACGAGGUAUCUACCGGAUUUAUUAGGUGAUUCACUAGAAGGAUAUCCACGGCGUGUGUUUAUCGAUGUAGGUUUGCCGGAGAAGGAAGGAGGAAGUGGCACUGGAUGGUUUGCGAAGAACUAUCCAACAAGAAAUCUUGAUUUUGAGGUGUAUAAAAUCGAGACUUUACCGGAGUCUUGGCCGGGGAAGGAGUUGCCUCAAGUGGAAGAAAUAGGGAUGUCUGGUUGGUUAAGAAAGAAUGUGAAGGAAGAAGAUUAUGUGGUUAUGAAGGCAGAGGCAGAAGUUGUAGAGGAGAUGAUGAAGAGUAAGGCAAUAAGGUUGGUCGAUGAAUUAUUUAUGGAAUGUAAGCCAAGAGGCCAUGGAGGUAAAGGUAAUAACUGUGGAGGUAGAAGGGCUUAUUGGGAAUGUUUGGCUUUGUAUGGAAGAUUACGAGAUGAAGGUAUUGGAGUGCAUCAAUGGUGGGGUUAAGAGAGACAAAAUCUCUUCUUUUACAUUCCCAUUUGCAAUUAUUAUUAUAAUUGUUAGGACUAUUCAUAUGAGAUUGAAUUGGGACAGUCUAAAUUUAUUAGCUAUUUUAUUUAUCUUUUCAAAAAAUUACUGUAAAAAAUUAAUAACAAAGAUGGUUAUUAAUUAACAAAAUUUUGUACAAUUUUUAUUAGUUAACAUUAGUACUAAGAAAAAGGAGAAUAUUUUAGAGUUAUUUAGCAGAUAUUGUUAACACGUGAAUUCAUUAAUAUAGUGUUUGAACUCGUUGACACAUGAAUUUAUUAACAUAACGUUUGAACUAGUGAUAGCAAGUUAAUCCAUAUAACCUACUCAAAUAGUUAGUACUACUUAAAAAACUAAAUGCUACUAAAACAGUUAAUAAUUAUUAAAUCAAUUAAUUUUGCUAAGAUGUUGGAAUUGCGCAUAAGAAUUGCUCCUUUUAUAUGGAUGAAUAAAUAGAACAUAAUAAGUAUAAUUAGCUAAUAAAUAAAACUGAAAUUUAAGAUAUAAACAUCACAUAACACAAUCUUAUAAAAAGGGGCUACAGGACUUUUCCUAUUUAUUAAAUCCACAACCUAUCUUACAGAUAAUUGGGAAACAUAAUUAAUUUUAGCAAACUAAAAAAAGGGAAAAAAAAAAAAAAAAAAAAAGAUACAAAUAAGAUAAAACCUAAUUGCAUAGCUCGCGAGCAAUUCCUAAGCGAGAAUUAGGCACAUCAAACAAGAUCCUAAGGUUCUGUUGUUGCAAAUUGGCUAUAACAUUAAGCACUGAGUUCACAUUAUUUGGCGCUGCAGCCAUAGCCAAGCAAGCCAGUGAGCCUGCACUGCUAUGUAUUAAGCUGUUCUCCAUAGGCAAAACCAAAUUUAGGCCUGUGAAAUGUAGAGUUAUGGCUGGAGCUAAUGCUUCAUUUGUUGCUGUAAAACACGUAUCAAAUGCUCCUAAAGACGAAAAUGGGCCUUUCACUUGUUUCCUAAACUCAUCCCUGAUUGCUGUAUAAAUGGGCUCAAUGAAUCGGGUUAUAACCGUACCUGAAUCAAUAAUGGUUCCAGCUCCCGUAUUCGGGUCAAAUUUUAGAAGCUCUGGGGCAAUGUGUACAUAAACCCGGCCUACGCUAACUCCGGUUAAGUUUACGUAGUAUAAUGAUGGCCGGUGUGGGUUUCGUAGAAGUGGGGUGGUUCUAAUGGCCCUGGGCUGACCCACUGGACCGAGUUUGAGUGAACCCGAGAAGUAAUAGGAUCUGAAACUGGGUAAACAAUAUGAAAAUACACCCGAAUAAAGGGAACUGGAUUGAGAAAGAAGUGAUAAGGAUCCACGGCCCAAACCCAAUAACCCUUGAGGAGGAACUGACCCACCCGAGACAGAGUUUAUGCAUCCAAAAAGAAAAUUGGGGACUACAUCCUUGGCUAAUGAUAACGAAUCUUGCACUAGUGAUGCUGUAAAGGAUGAAUCUCCACCGUAGGAUUGGUUGAAAAGGCAGUAAGAGGUUCCGGUAUCCGGGCAUGAAAAUCCACGGACUUGGGUACAUUGGGCCAUGGAGCAAUCCAAUGACCCGUAAGUAGAAGAGAUAUUUGUAAUGAAUGUGGUGGAGGAGCAACCAGUGCAACCGGAGCAGGGUACCCAAGCAGCAUCAUUACUAGUGUCUAAGACCAUAUUCAUAACUUGACCCGGAGUACCCAAUUUAACCCGAACCACAUAGUUACCAAUGUUUAGAACUUGUUGACCUGGAGCAAUAGGUACAGCGGUGGUCAUUUGGGCUUGUAGACUUGACAAGUACUUUAGCCGUUGUGGGUCUUUAGUGGCCAUGUUAAUGACUGUAUUAAGCAAUGAGGUCUCCUGCUUAUGUGGGUUAAAAGGUGAGCAUUUGCUAUAGAUGGGUAUAAUUGAAAGAUCCGACUCAUCUGCUUGAGAGGCACAUGAGUCAACAAGAGCUCUUGUGCUUGAAAUCAGAAGAGCAAAUAAGAGAAAUCUGGUAAAAGUUGCAGAGUCCAUAGCUUGGAGUGGACUCUCCAAAUUUGGAAAAAGGGCUCUUGCUUUGCUUAGUUAUUGCAAUUGUAGUAUGUGCAUGGAGACAUUAUAUAUACGAAGACGAAGGGAUAUAAAAUUACUAAAUACCCCUUCGAUUAUUGCUUGGGUUUUCGAACAUACAAUGACAUGUAUCUUGCAUGCAAGAUAGAACGUUGUAUGGGGUCCACUUAGAUCAAGAACGACACUUAGAAUAAGCCGUAAAUUAAUCCCAUAUAUCGAGAUGCGCUAUAAAAAAAAAAAAAAAAAAAAAUCCAACUUGCAAAUUGCAAAUGAAAAACAGACAGAAAUAUGCUCUUUUUAAGGCCCAGAAAAUUUAGAAAAGGACAAUGCUUAUUAUAUUUGCUCGAUAAAGAAUGUUGUUGUCUUGUUAAAUCUCUACAGUGAUUCUUGAAAUUAUUAUUAUAUUGUACUACAAAUUUUGACCUUUUAAAAUGCUAUAAGAUUUCAAAAUAUAUAAUGGUGUAUUUAAAUUAUGGGUUCAAUUGUUUAAUCUUAUAGGAAGCUUUAAGCUUUCAAAAUAUAUCCAAAAAAAAAAAAAAAAAAAAAAGAAGAAAACGUUUUAAUGAAGGGUAAAAUGGGAAUGGGAGAUGCGAAGGAAAGCUUGUGAAUUGUGAACCCAUCUGUCUGUCUGAUAAAUGCUUAAAAAAAAAAAAAACUGAACUGUGGGCGUAGAUGGGCCAACGCACGAGAUGCGGUCGGUCACGGGCAUAAACAGAGACUUUUCCAUGACGUAUGGGUCCAUCAGUAUCUUCCUCAUCCAUCCUUUUUCUUAUCAUUCCUCAAAUACAACAAAACCUUUUUCCGUAACUUUGCCACGUGACUUCAAUUGGCUAGAAAAUAUCUAUUAAGAUUUAAGAGAUUCACAAACGCCAACUACUGUCAGUCACCCACAUUUCAGUUCACUCUGCAAAUCAAUGGUUCUUUGGUUGGUACUCGGUAGUAAAGUUAAAAAGAUGAUAACAAUUGAGCUGUGGUUCAGUUUAUUUCCGAAACCGUAAACUUGUAAAUUUAAAUCUUAGUCGGACAGAAUGAACUGAAAAAGGACGCAAUUUUAUGCAACCAAUUUUGAAAUAAUUAAUGAUUUAAAGUUAGAAUUCCUAAUCAGUAAUCAUAGGCCGUUUACCAUAAUAAUGACUAGUUUGCACUAGUAAUAUUCUACUAUAUUUAAACAUGUGUUAAGAUUAAAUUUAAUUUAUUUGAAUCUUCAUUUCAUUGUAUAUUAUUGUGAAGGAAACUAAAUGAUUUUUUAUCCUUUCCAAAGACAAAAAAAAUCAUAUCUAUCUAUUCUCAAUGGUCAUUCCGCACUUUAAUCUUGAAAAGGACUCAAAAGUAAACACACAAAUAAGCCCUAAUCAACCACUCAGUGAUUUUAGCAAAAGCUAAUACCCCACAAAAGUCACGAGGUCUCACUGUCCAAAUUAUUAUCAGCUUGUGUACAGAAGCGGAAUGCUGUGAAAUCCAUCCAUUCUCUGCCUAUCUGUAAUCCAGCAUUUCAAAAGCAAAUAGUCUUGGGACUCUGGUACAUUAUUUUAAGCCAAUGCAGUACCAAAUUACACACACACACAAAAAAAAAAAAAAAAUGAUUUUCAUGCGCAAUUUUCGUUAUUUGUCUCAUCCUUCCUCACCAUGCUAAUUGCUCUUCCUUCGCCAUACACUAUUAGAUGGCAAUAAACCAAAUCAUAAGGAGUCUUAAAAUGUUUGUUUUGUUAUAUCUCACCAAACUAUAAGUCAAAAAGCAUCAAAACUAAAAUCCAAUAAAAAAAAAUCCCACCAGAUUUAAUAAAUGAAUACACAAACAAAUACAACAAAUUUAUAUAUACACAUACACACAUGAGCAACAGCACAAACAGGGAUAAUUUUCACACAUAAGUUUUCCCCCCAGAUUCACUCACAAAAUACAUAAGAGGGAUGGCUAGGCAGAGCUGGACGCAAGUAACAUAAACUGCAUCUCCAAUAUCUCCAUAUUCAACUAGAAGACCGCAUUUGUCAAGGAUGGGCAAAGCACUUCAUAACUACUGCAUGAUUUGAACAGAAUUACAGAAGACAAAAAGUAGAACUCAAGUUAAAAUCUUACCAGUAAAUAAAAUUUAUGAAGUUUAUGGAAUUACAUGCAAAGAUUUCCAUUAUAUAAAUGAUAAGAAAAUAUUUCGAAUAUAGAGUGGUCCACUAAUUUGCUGAAGUUGUUGAAGAUCUAUGGAACAUUGCUUGUUCAUAAAAUAUUUAUCAUAAUAGUAAUCUUGAGAAUAAAACAACACUUAGCAUCACAUUCUUGUAACUGUCAAUCAGAGCAUAAUGUUAUGAACCCUAUAGGUCCAAAGAAAUUCAAUUCAAGCAAAAUACAAAUCCAAGAAUUUGCAAAGGUACUAUUCUGAAUGAAAUCAUGAGUGAAUUCACGAGUGAAUUCUUUACUCUCAAAACUAAAUUUUGUUCUUCCAUAUUUCAAAAGUUUCUUAAGCUUCUCCAGUAACAACAAUCUUUUUAACACGUUCCAUAUGGCUUCUGCAAAUAUUAGACCUGUUCCGUAAAUUCUUAACAUGUUUCCCUAAACUUAACUGAAUUUAAAACUCUUUGGAUCCUUGGGCCAAUUUUAGAUUUCUGACAAACUGCUGACUAUAGGGUUACAUGAGUAUCUUUGUUGCAACUAAAUUUAAACACUGCUUAAUUUUGCAUGAGAAAUUUAAAGUUAGCAGAAACAAUUAAAAUAAGUGUUAACUUCGUUAACAUUUCCAAAAGCAACCCAGAGAAAGGAGGUGAAAAAGAAAAGGCUCCCCAGAGCGCAAUAGGUUGUGCAUUAUGUUUGGCACCAUUAAAACAUACUAGACUUUAUCAUCAAAAGAGGGUAAUAAGAAGAGGGGUUUGGCACUGUUAAACCAUAGCAGACUUUAUUAGUACUUUUACUUUUGCAGAAAAAUAGACAUCCAACACCUAACUCUUAAAGUGAUGAUUAGGAAAACCUAGGAUUCUUAAACAAGGCACUGACUAUGCAGAUUAUAAUAGAAAAUCGGACAUGAAAUGAACAAUAAAGUAAACUAGUUGAAUUUAAAAUCCACAUUAUGAACACAUUAGUCCAACAACUUAAUUGCCUCACAGACAAUGGAAAAUUUCUGAUUGGUAACAACAAUUAAAUUUGUCUUAGAGCACAUAAUAUGGAAGCCUAGACAUGACAAUAAAACAAAGAAAUUUUCAAAGCUAAAUUUAUCAAUAGCACUUCAAAAUGGCAUUACGUAAAGAAAAACAAUAAAUUUGUCAGAUGUAUCAUAACAAGUGGCAGGCAAAGAAAAUAGCAAGUGGCAGGCAAAGGAUGCACCUUGGAGCACAUUCUUGGAAGUUACAAAAUAUUGGCUAAUUAUAUCAUAACAUGGAAUUAAUCUACACAAAAGAAUAGCAAAAACAAUAAUUUUAUGGAAGGCUAAUAGAUGAUAACUUGAAGAAUUAAAGACAUGAGUUGCUUCCAGAAGUGCUCAAAUUAACAAACAUACCUCUUUUAGGUUAUGAAUCUUACACUGAAGUGUCUUUGCCCUUGACUAUAACGACUGGACAUUGUGCAUGGUUGGUGCAAUAGUUGCUUACACUUCCCAAGAACAUCCUGUUAAAAUUAUGCAUUUCAUCACAGUUAGGAUACUAAAGAACCACAUUGACAUAUUAAUCACAUUUUUAUGUUCAGUUAUUGAUGUCAAUUGGAUUAAGUUUGCUUGCCAAAGGCCUAGCAAACUUCAAAUGCACAUCUAAGUUUGGGGGAAAUUAAAUCUAGCAACAAAAGGCAAAGUAGUAAAACCAUCUAAAAAAAUUCAGAAAACUAAACAAAAAGUAAGCCAAACUCAAGUGAAAAAGUAAAACAACAUCAAAAGUUCUAAUAGCAUUUUAUGGUAAGGGAAAUGUUUCUUGAGCAUCUGAAGUGCUCCUCCAAGGACCCUUAGCUUUAUCAUAAAAUCAUUGCAUAAAGCAUAGCAACUUCCUAUCACAUUUUCUCUGUGCAAAAAUAAUCGCUACCUAAAAUAACUCAGCCGCAGCACAUAGCAUAACAUAGAGUAAAAAGAGAUUACCCAGCAAAUAUUUGUCCAUACAUGUAAGUUUCAUGAUCUUUCAUUAAAAUAUCUCUUGUUCAUCUAUGCCCUCAUUAUAACUGCUAUUUCGAGCAGUCUAGCCCUUUUCCAUCGAGGGAUGGAAUUUCCAAAUCAAAUCACUUUUAGAUUUGUCAUUCUUAGAUUCAUUUGUCAUCCUGUGAGCUACCAUCUCUGACAUUUGCACCAUGGCUAACAGGAAAGAAAACUAAUUGCUAAUUGCAAUAUUUACAUUUGUAAUGGUGAAAUUUCACCUCAUAUGUGCAUUAAUAACAACUACAGUUGAAAAGAUGCAAAAACUCUUCAUUCAUCUAACAUCACACGGCCAAACAGAAUAUUAUGAACCCAACGACUGAGAACACCUGCAGAUGAUAAUUCAGAUAUUGAAAAUAAUCCAAGGAUGCUUUGUAAAUCAACAUCCUUUGAGAUAACAUCAGUUUAUCACUUGAACAGGAUUAUUGUCCCUGUCUUUACUCAUUGGAAAAACUACUGGCUAAUUGUUGGCAUAAACACUGCGAACAUCAUUUUGUCCAAAUAAAAUAUUAUUACUUCUGAGUUCUGACUUUGAACUUCGAUUCAAACAAAGCAAAAAUUCUUAGCAUUUCAAAAUAGAAGAUCCAAGUAGUAGGUACUUUGGUCUCUAUCGCCCUAUGUAUAUAGAAAAGUUACCAUGCAGUCCUAAAUCUGAAGUUCUUUAGCUAAAACACUUUUGGCAGAGGUAGCUCUUCUUAUUGGCUUACCAAAAUGAAGUAAUUCUGGAUGGAUAUUGCUAAUGCCCUUAAUUUUUAUGAUGAUGAUGAUGCAUGGUUAUGCAGUUCAAUUACUUUGUAAUGGAUAUACAUAGCCCUAAUAAAUAACCUUAAGCUAUAGCUAUAAAGCAAAUACCAUAUUGUAAAUUUUAGCUUCCUGUAAAAUUCUUUCCAGUAUGUUGGCACAUAAUCAAAUAGCACAACUAGUUGACAAUGGAAAAUAGCAAAUUUAAGGAGCACCCUAACCGGCAACUGCACAAAGGAAGCAGUAAUAUUGAUUAAACUCCAACUACACAACUAAUCUUUUGGGAUCUGUUUUUACCCUGCUAUUACAGCUACUUAUGACAGGAGCACCCUUUCGGAUGCAUUGUUUAUAGCAAGCAUUAUGGACUAAGAUGGAAAUGCAUCACAAAAGCAUCCAAAAAUUGCUUUAUGUCAAAACUUUGAACGGCAUGUUUUAUAAUAUGGACAAUAACCGAAACAAACAGUUCCGAAAACUAUUCAAUCUCCUCAUUGUUUAAUAUGUCAAGAAAAAAAUCAUUUUACUUCCCAUCAAAUUACUGCACAAGGAUACUAACCAUGUUCAUCAUCAAAGCUGAUAUUGAAUAAAGCAUGCUCUAUACAAGAUUGAGUCUAAAUAAUAAUCAUGCAAAUUGUUCAAACAAUGAGAAUCAUCAAACCAUUUCCUUGACUUUUCAAAGCUGUUUGACUUUUCAAAACUUAAAAAACAAGAAUCCAACAUGAUUACAUCAAAUAUUAUUCUACCACUCCAAAUACUUGCAAUGAACCAAAAUUUUCUCUUUGUAUAAUACCUUUUAAUAGGGCCAUAAGAACGACACCCCAUCACAAGCAAAUCAGCACCUGAAUUCUCAACAGCUUCGCAAAUCUUCUCCUUUGGAUCCCCAACAACCACUUGCGUUUUAACAUUCGCCUAAACAAAAAUUAAGUUCCAAUAAAAUAAUUGAUAACUAUUUACCAUAAAAUUGAUAUCCUAAAUUGACUGGUACACUAAAACAAGUAAAUCGGUUUCAAAAAGGAAAAAAGCCCUCACGUUUUUUUCGCUGCAAAUCUGCAAAGCAUGCUCUAAAACAGCUUCGGUGAUCCGCUUCUGAUGCGCCUCAAUCGCCGCCGUAAAGGCAGGCACCUCCAAAUCAGCUAUUAAAUUCCAAAAAAAAAAAAAAUCAAACUAAUCAAUUAGUAAUUAGCUUUAACUCAAGAAAAUCAAAUCAAAACCAUGAACAGAUUCAGUAUCGACUGAAAUAAGCACUAGUAACUUUGGUAUGGAUAGUGGACACUUAACUGGGUCCACCGAACGGAAUAGCGCCGGGAUUGAGACCAGCAGCAAUUGACGGUGGAGAUUGGACAUGGAGUAUCAGGAAGUAGCCAGCGGUUUCAGUGGAGUCGGGCGCAGAAGAUCGAAGCUUGAGGUUGUCGAGCGCCCAUCUCAAGGCGUACAUGCUCUCCUCGCUGCCGUCGACGGCCACGAUCACGCAGCCAAGCUUUUCCGUCGUCAUGAUUGAUUGAUUGUCGAUCUUGAGUCAGGUGAUGUUGACUUUGGAGUAUUCGUUUCGAGAUUAGCAUAUUAGAGAACGGAACUGUAGACAAAAAGAGAAAUUUCGUAACGGAACGAGAGCUAACGACUAUUCGAGAGCGCCAGUGGGGAGCUGCAUGGGUCGACCGGGUUGGUUUUAGGUGACUUGUGGGCCGGCGGUCCAAAUCUCCACAGGCCGAAUAACGCCACUGCAUUUUUGUCUAACCUUGUGUUUUGUUUUGGUUCUGAUUUUCAUUGCAACUUUUACAUAUAUUUCAAAAAGAAAAUUCUUCUUUACAUAAAUAGAAAGUUGUAGCAAAAAAUAAAUUAUUUAAUAAUUUACCCAAAUUGUUGGUAAGCUACUCAAAAUUCAGUUGAUAAAAAAAAAAAAAAAAAAGCUCAUUUACAUUCAUUUGGUAAAUUUAAAAAACCAAGCUUGAAAUUAUUUAUCAAAUACAAUUAAACUGAUAAAUUGUAAUUAAAAUGCAAUAGUUUUUAGGUAUGUGUUUGCUAUUUCGAAAAUGAAAAAAGAAAAAACAGAGAGAGACGGCAGAAACAGGUUGUGGUUUUCAGUUUUCACAGGUUGCCAUUUGCCAACGCCACACUGUGAUAUGCGUUUUGGACUAUUGGGUCAGAGCAUCAAAUCAGAAUCCAGUUUUUGCACCUAUGCCUAUUAUAAUAGUAUCAUCUCCGGAAACGAAUCACCGUCUCGUCUAAGACUGACCUAGUUGAAUUAUGAGUUUUUUUUUUAAAUAUAAAAAAUAAUUUAAGACAAUAUAUAGUUUAAAAAUUAAAAAAUGUUGACUGGCAGCAGAAGCACGUCAAUUGUUUAGGAAAAUAUAUUGCAUGAACAGCUAAACAUUUUCUUUUGGCCCCUCGCAAGGAAAUUGUUCUAUUUACUAUUUAGUGACUUCUUAUACAAGUGAAGGGUCACUGUAAUUUGAUUAAUUAAUGAGUGCAAUUAGCACUUAAAUAUAAAUCCAUUUGCUGACAUGAUAAUAUAAAUAAAUUUUUUCCAAAAAUAAAUAAAUACUGGUAUUGCAAUUUCCUUGUGAAUUUUGGUUCUUGGGACGAGAGGUGAUUUACCCUCAUGUAAUAAAUAACCAAUUUGCAUUGCCAUUACUGCAAUGAAAAAUAUCAUGCAUACAAAAAAGUCCACUUUUUUUUUAAAAUUUAUACUACAUAUAAAUCUAUACCGUGGAAAUAGACUGUAUAUAAUGAAAUUUUUGAUAAUACAUUUGAUAAAAUUUAAGAUAUUUUAAAAUAAUUUUAAUAUCGUAAACAAAAAAAUUAUUACUUCAAAUUAGCAAUACAUUAAUUAAUAAUUACUCUAAUGUAGGACCUAAAAUUCCAAUUUGCUAGCCCAAGGAAAUAGAAAAAGGAUGACAUACUUUUUGGAGGCUCAACCUAAGAUACCACCAACUAAGAAAAUAAUUUCCUGCUUUUUUGCAUCUAUGUAUGAUGGUUUUCGACUGUGCAAAAGUCACUGUAGAUAAAGCUACCGUUACCAAUAUCAAUUUCAAGCCACGUGCAACAAAUCUUUUUUUUUUCCCCAAUUUUGAAAAAUCUUAUUUUCAAAAGUGUGAUUGGCCAACUAUUCAAACCAAGUGCUUGACUAUUUUUUUUUUUCCCCAAUUUUGAAAAAUCUCAUUUUCAAAAGUGUGAUUGGCCAACUAUUCUCUUCAAUAAUUUCAUUUGCAUUAAUUGUAAAAGUCAUUUGUGUAUCAUUUCUUAUGUUGUAAGUUGUAGAUAUUGUGCAUUUAUAUUUCUUUGCGUGUAUUUGACUAUUUUUGCAACAUGCUUGAUAACUCGAGAUUUUGAAAUUAUUCAUUAAUUUACAAGUCAAUUACAUUCAAUACCUAAAUUAGAGAAGUUUGGUAAGAAUUUAAAUCAACAGUUAAUAGCCGACAGAAAUUUAAAUCAAUUGCUUAUAACAUUCUAGAGCUACUAACC
rnacentral:lncRNA from 1 species